CAGCAUUUUUCCCUGGGUGCUUUUCUACGGGUUUUGUUUUCAUCGCUUCUGCCGUGCUUCUCACUGUCCUGAUUUCUGCCACUGUCUCUCCUGGUGUCCCAUCCUGUUCAGCACGCUGCCCUCUUGCAAGCGUUCUGUUUUGGAUUAAAAGUGGACUGUUGCCCUGUGACAGCAGCACUUACCAACUGACGAUGGUGCAGCCACUGCUGUGGGUACUGCUUCACGGAGACCUGAACUUGCGAGCGAUGGCUCUGCUGAUCCUAAGCAUUGUUUUCUUCCUGGGGAACUUUCAAGUGUCUGGACAAAGAGCUGAAGACAGUGCAGAAGUGAUUGAUUCUCACGUGCUGGGGGACAGAAUGUCCCAGGAUGUGGUAACCAUUUUCUCCCGACACGAAUGCCAUUAACAUCUCAGAAGAAAACCUAAAUGCCACUCACAGUUGCUUAUUUUUACUUGACGUUAAGUUGAUAUUCAACUCGUGUGGAAAGCAGCUUUGGAUCUCUCGUCCUUCCUAUGUUCUGUUUCGAAUGAUAGUAAUUGUUUUACAAAAUUACAAUUUGGAAAACUAUGAUAAACCUACAUGUGGCUUUCUUUGUAUGUACCAAGCAGGGGGCUUAUUGAGCUUGAAUCUGUAAAUUUAUGGCUCAUCAAAUUUGAAAAAUGUCAGCCAUUAUUCCCUCCACUGUCUUUUGUUGUCUCCUUUUGGGAUUCAAGUACACACGUGUAACCUUUCAUAGCCUCACACUCACUGGUCACUGAGGCUAUUCGUGGAUUUUUUAAAAGUGUUUUCCCUGUUGUUUUAAAAUAGGGUACCAUUGUCUACAGAGGCCAUGACUUCCCACCCACACGGGCUCUGACAGCUGAGCACGGAAGCUCACAGCUCUUAGGCUUUUCAUCCCGGCCACCGGCAGCCAGAUUUCUGUCAUCAAGUCAGGUCCCUGUGAUGGGAGCUUAAGUCUUCUGAGUGUGAGCUCAUGAGGACCACUUAUCUCAGAGCCUGUCACGGGUAGGUGGAGACGGUGACCUUCAACGCGGACAUGGGACUCCAGAAAAUAACGGCAUUUCCUACCUGUUUCAACACCUAUAAGGGGCAGAACUUGACGUGUCCGUUCUGUCCAGCUGUCAGCUUCUGUACUGACAGAGGCCUGUCCUGUCGGUACCCACUGGACAUGACUGUCCAAUGGCUGUUUCAGUGGCAGGCGCUUCCUACCCUUCAGAGCCCGUGAUGUCCAAGGACAUAUCUACCUGUCGGCAGAAGUCAUGGCCACCAAUGAGACCAACUUGAUGUGAAGACAAGGAUGUAAAAAUUUUCUGUUUUCAAAAUUGAGACCAAAAACAAGUUAUGUUUCUAAUUCAGGGGAAGUAUUGUCUACUGUUGCUCCAUUUCCAAACGUGGCAUUUUAGUUAAAAGGGCUAUUUUGUGUUAAACGUUCUGCUCUUUCGAAGGUCAGUGCAUGUGUCUCAGAGCUUUCCAAAAAUGGUCCCCUGGGGAGGAGUGCGUGUCAUGCCCAUAGUGGGAGCCACCCCACAGCCUUUGCAGCCUCACGGAGACCACUUCCCCUGGCCGCAGAGAACAGAACCAGCCCUCUGAACCACCUGUCCCACAACAGGGCUGAGACUGGCUGCCGUGAUAUACCGAAGUCCCGUACUGUUCACCAACCAGUAUCUCAGACACUACCCUAGAGCUCACCCUGGUGACAUCAUCUUGCCUGGAUCACAUCUGCCAAGACGCAUGUCCCAGGUCCAGGGUUAGGACUGCACCUAUUUGGGGGACACAUUUCGGCCAUAACACAGAGUAGAAGACUCCGGAGUGGCCUUUGAUUCACCUGUGCUGCGUGUGUGUCACUCGUCCAUUCCUGCCACAGCCAGUGGUGCCGCUGUGUUCACCCCUUCAGUCACCGAAGGACACGGAAUACUCCCAGAUGUGGGAGAUGAUGUCGUAUGGAACUAAUCACACAGUGUGACCUUCUGCAUCUGGCGUCUUCCACUUAGGACGAUGUUCCAGGACUCACCCAGGCUGUGGCGCGUCUGAGCUUCGUUCUUCUCUGCAGCUGAGUCACCCCCGUUGUGCAGACAGAUCGUAUUUGGUGACCACUCACCUGCUGCUGGGCACUGGGUUGGUUCCACUUUUGGCGGUUGUGAACGGGGUGCUGUGAACCUCCCUGGAAAGCUUCUCUGGACGUGUUUUCAUUUUGGGCUGC